rnacentral:pre_miRNA from 1 species
CUCAGCCGAGGGCUGCCUUCUUCAGUACUUUGUUCAAUGACAUCCAAAUUACUGUUGAUGUCAGCCCCUCGGCUGUGU